AUAGUGAUAAGACAAAAUAAAGUAAUAGUCUAAUGUAGUAUUAAUAAAAUUUGCAUUUGCUUGUUUUUACAUUGUCUAUCUCUUCGGCUUGGGAAUAAAAAUCUGUAGGAAACUCAAUGAAUUUAAUUAUAUUCUAGACCUUCUCUCAAAUCACAUAAUUCCAUGUCUUUUUUACAAUUUAAUUUUAUUAUUAUAUUAAUAUUAAUAAAUUUGAUUUCAUUCCGGUUCUAAGUACUCUGAAAAAGUAUACGGUGCAAAAUCAAAGAAUGAUUGGUUCCUAUUUAAGUAGCUCUUUUUAACCGAUUUCAAAUAAAGGAGGAGGUUCUCAAUUCGACUGUAUUUUUUUUUAGGUUUGUUACCUCAUAACUUUUGAGUGGUUGAAUCGAUUUUGAUGAUUCUUUUUUUAUUAGAAAGCUGACGCUUCCCGUGUCGUCCCAUUUCAGUCCAGUCCUGAUAAUGAUAUCCAUAAGAAAACCAUAUAAGUCUUAAAUUUGUAUUAAGUACGUGCGCGACGUAUAGAUGAAUAACUCAAUAACUCAAUAUCACGCCAACCGAUUUCGAUGAUUAUUGUUUUUAGUGUAGGUAUAUUAAUUUGUUUCGGAAUAUCUUUUUUUUUCUAUUUGAAGUCGGUUUUUGUUAAAGCAUGUCUAUUUACAAUUAUAUUAAUAUAAAAAAUAAACAAUGUGACAAAUUCACUGCCUGGAAUUUUUAGUCCUGACACUUAUCUUAGUUACAUAUGUUUGAUGCUGUACAAUAUACAAAACUUUAUCGUGAUCACGUUGCUUUAUUGCAUACACCAAAUUCUUAACCAUAAAUAAAAAAGGCUUUCCGCCUACGUGUGAGAGGCAGUAAGCAGUGUAUUAACGUUUACCUACGUUUGCCGCCAGGGGCGCUGUUCCAACUGCAUACCAAUUUGAGUUAACUUUUACGCUAUCGAGAACGUUAAAAAACUCACACUAAGCACACAGACCAUGUUAGAAUGAAGUGAACCUCCCUCCGCCAAAGAAUACUGAGCCUAUGCCACCGAGGUAUUAAACUACAGAAGUUUGAACUACCUACUCUACCACUUCAUCAUUUAUCGACAUAAACCUAAAAAAGAGACAAAAUCGAAAGAACAACACUGAAGUUAAUAGAAUUUUAUAUAGAUUCAUAUAUACAUCGCCCUCGGCUAGAUAGGCACGAUGUAGUCUUUAUUACGACGCCAUCCCUGUAUAAGAAACAAAUACAAUUUCCUCUUAAUUUCCGCUCUCGAUCUUAUCUGGACAUAACGACAGGCUUAGCAUUCAGCCGACACUCUUACUAAAACUUCGGAAAUAGGAACAAUUCCAUUAUGAUUAUUUGUCAGUAUUCACUUUUAUGUUUAUUUUAAGUAUUCAUAAACGAUGAAAGUGUAAAGAUUACUAUCUUAUUUUGAGGUUAAUCUGUUAUUACAGUUAGUCAUCUUAUUUCUAUACCUUUAGGUAUUAUAUUUUAUGUGCACGUGACACACAGAUAAAUAUAAUUAAUUAAUGUUAGAAUGACUUAUGAACGAGGCACACGGAAGUUUAAAACUAAAUAGCGUGAUAACACAAUUGGGUAUUUGAAAAUUAUUUUUUUUUGUGAUAAAUGGAAAGGUCAUAUAUUAGUUUUAUAACAAAACAAUUUUUUUUUAUUUUUUUUUCGCAAUAAUUCAAAAGUUAUUUCAAAAUAAAAAUUAAUUUUUGAAUCCAGUACCGAAGACACGCCGACAGCUCCCGAUCAAACCCGAGCGCGUGUGACGUCAUAAUGUUAGUUUUCCCUCAUUGCAGUUCAUAUUAUAGAAAUACUCGUAAUCAUAGAUUAUACACUUAAUAUAUGUAAUAAGUACAGUGUUUUGAUCUAUUUAAUUUUGUUAUCAUCGUUAAAUAUUCAAAUAUUUAUAUAGAAAAUGUCGAACCUCAAAAGUUAUCGUUCUUCUUUUGUACCAUUAUGCAUGAAAACUACAUAGACAACUCCUGAAAAAAUGUUUUUAAAUGUUUCCCAAGAUGACAAAUAUCGAAAUAAAUGGUUUCAAGCAGUGCACCGUGAUAAUCCCAAAACAAAAUCGAUUUUUUUUUUUCAUUGUGAAGAUCAUUUCGACUCUGCUGAGAGGCGCGUUCUUACCAAGGUUGGUGUAGAAUCUGGGAACCCUGAACACCAUCAACUUAGAAGCCCUUGUCGACGUCAGCGGCACGUUAAAGUUCAGAAGAGAUAAGAGAUCAGGGGCAUCGUAUUCAUCGUAUUCAGAUUUUGCCUUAAUAAAUCCUUUAUCACACAUAGAAUCGUAACCAACUAACAACUUGUUUUUUAGCAAUAAAUUUUCAAUAUUAUUGUCUAGUCACGUGUAUUAGCCGUAAACGCUGUACUGUUAAUAAAUAGCUAUAACAUUAUGACGUCACAACUAUGGUAACCAAUCAUGGCGCGUUUAUAAGUCACGUGAUUUUUCUUAAAUUCUAUCAAUUUUUAAUUCUUUAUAAAUAAUUGAAGAAAAAACAUUUUUAAGUUUUUUGCAUUAAAUAUCCCUAUUAUUACUAAUAAAGUUUUAAAAUACAAUAAAAAAA